ensembl:lncRNA
AUUUGUCAAUUUGUUUUAUUUUUCCAUGUAUGUUUUUUUUGUGUGCAUUUCUAGAGAGAACACUAGCCAAAGAACAACACAAGUUUAUUUUUGCUGUAAUCGUGAACAAAGCAUAACUAAUAUGGUACCAUGGUGUUUCAUUGUAUGUUAGUUAUACGUUGUGACACUGUGUUGUGAAACGCUUUCAUAAAAGGAAGGCAAACUGUUCUUCUGGGAUUUCAAACCAUGCACUGCUGAACAUCUAGUCAAAUGGCUACCCAGACUAUUCACAUCCCCCCCCCCUCCACACCACUGCCACUCUCUGUUGUCAUCUAUGCAUAAUCACUUUAAUAACUCUACCUACAUGUACAUACUACCUCAACUAACCGGUGCCCCUGCACAUUGACUCUGUACCGGCAUCCCCCUGUAUAUAUUGUUAUUUUUUUACUGUUCCUCUUUAAUUACUUGUUACUUUUAUCUCUUAUUCUUAUCUGUAUUUUUUUAAACAGGCACUGUCGGUUAGGGGCUCGUAAGUAAGCAUUUCACUGUAAGGUCUACUACACCUGUUGUAUUCGGCGCAUGUGACUAAUACAAUUUGAUUUGAUUUGCUGCUUAGUGUGUGAGUUAAAAUAUCAAAUGAUAAAUCAUAAAUAACACUAUUCAAUGGAGUAAGUCAAGGGGUAUGAAUACUUUCUGAAGGCACAGCUGGAGUCCUUAUCAAAUGGACUUAAGAUGUUAAGGUAACAGUUGCUGCUAGAAAAAACAAGCUUGCAGGUCUUGUGCAGUGAAAUACCUUGGUUCUCACUUUGAUUUCCUUCAAUCAGUGCAAUCAAAUCAACUAUCAAUUAAUGCCAGUUCAGAAUGCUUUGACUUUCAAAUGUCCUUUCUUUGGUUUUUAAUUAAGUUACUUUUGUUCUUCGGGGGGAAUAAACAAAUGCUAUUCAAACAUCAAUUUGUAAAACUUACAAAAAAUGGCCCUCAAUGUCUUGAAAUGGAGUAGGUACACUGGUGGUUAGUGCCAGCAGGGUGUGCACCAAAGCACAACUUUUUGGUUUUUGAAAACAGCAUAAAUAUUUGACGGUCUGUGCUAUCUCGCAUCCUUGGGAAUCCCAUUGAAGUUGACAUUUUAAAUGGUGUAGGUAAGAAUUAUGGUUAUAGUUAGGGUUUAGGGUAGGGACAUCCCAAGGAUCCCGGAGAGCACUGAAUUGUCAUGACAUUCUGUGACAUAGUACAUUCAUGUUUGGAUGAAAUUAUCAUUUCAUUUACUUUCCACUGUGAGGCUCAAUGUGAAUCAAUGCUCAAAUUCAAAGCCUGUAAAAUGUAAAUAGUUUUACACUCUCAGUAACACUUGUUACUUCUACUUUACUCCUUUAUAAAAACCAUGCUGAAAUUGUUCCUAUUCUUCCCCAGAUGACCAGGAGUCUCCAUCUUCAGAACCUUCAGAAGUAACAUUCACACCCUCUACCACAUCUUUACAAACCAGCUGCUUCACCUGUGAGGGCAUCUGUUUGUCCUCUUCUUCAAGGGUGGAAGCUUUAGGUGUGUCGCUGUCCAUCUUUGUGUUCCAAUUAGUUGCCUGUGGAUUCUCCAAAUCCACCCAGGAUAGGUUGUUAGCCAAGGCUAGGUUCUGAUUGGGUAGCUCGGUCACAUGGUCAUAUGGCUCAUCCGGUUGAUAGGGGGCUCCUGUCUCCAGAUUGGAACCCCAGAAGUUGUUGUGUACACCAGAGCUGAGGAAGCUGUGGAGGUCCCGGGCUUCGCUGUCAGUUUUGGAUGAUCUCUCAGAGUAUCUCUUGUGACCUGCAAAAGGAUCUCCAGAUUCCAGGUGUUUGUUUGGACUUUCUAAGACUUCCCAUUCAUCUGUCUGAAGACAUUCAUUACUUGCCUGAUAGCUAGUGACCUCUUCUGCAGAAUGUUCAAUAAGAGUAUUGCAAUCCUCAUAGUGAGAGACUGCCACAUCUAACAAGUCUUCCUGAUCUGCAGUUAGAUUUGCUUUGGUGACAGGUUGCAAAUACUGGCUUGCAUUUGGCGACUCAUCAUCUGUGCUGUUGGACUCUUCUAUAUCCAAGUUGUUCUUGUCGGUUUGACUCUCAGGCCUGCUGUUUAAACUGCUGUAGAUAGAAUGGCUUUCAGUGAAGUCUGCAUGAGUCGACAUAUAAAGGUUCUGGUCAUCCUGUCCUUCUAUUUUGUCUGGUACAGCUUCAGUUCCCAGUCCCCCACUGAAUACCUUACCUUGAGCCAAAUAUUCUUCUUGGGAUAUUUCUACUGAACCUUCUCUAAGAGAUGUGUGAUCAGAUGUCAUUAGAAUCCUAGAGUGCACCGAAUACAUAACCUCUGAGGAAAUACACUCUUGCUCAGACUGAUUCAGUUUCUCUGCACCUGGAGGUAUACACUCUUGCUCAGACUGAUUCAGUUUCUCUGCACCUGUAGGUAUACACUCUUGCUCAGACUGAUUCAGUUUCUCUGCACCUGAAGGUAUACACUCUUGCUCAGACUGAUUCAGUUUCUCUGCACCUGAAGGUAUACACUCUUGCUCAGACUGAUUCAGUUUCUCUGCACCUGAAGGUAUACACUCUUGCUCAGACUGAUUCAGUGUCUCUGCACCUGAAGGUAUAUACUCGGGAUCGGAUUGAUUCAUUUUCUCUCUGUCUGAGGGUAUGUGUUCUUGCUCACAUAUAUCCAGUUUCUCUCCGCCUGAAAUUAUGUACUCUGGCUCGAAUUGAUUCAGUUUCUGUCCACCUAAAGGUAUAUUCUCUUGUUCAGACUGAUUCAGUUUCUGUCCACCUAAAGGUAUAUUCUCUUGUUCAGACUGAUUCAGUUUCUGUCCACCUAAAGGUAUAUUCUCUUGUUCAGAUUGAUUCAGUUCCUCUCUGUCUGAGGGUAUGUGUUCUUGCACAUAUAGAUUCAGUUUCUCUCCGCCUGAAGUUAUGUACUCUGGCUCGAAUUGAUUCAGUUUCUGUCCACCUAAAGGUAUAUUCUCUUGUUCAGAUUGAUUCAGUUUCUCUCCGCCUGAAAUUAUAUACUCUGGCUCGAAUUGAUUCAGUUUCUGUCCACCUAAAGGUAUAUUUUCUUGCUCGAAUUGAUUCAGUUUUUCUCCACCUAAAGGUAUAUUUUCUUGCUCGGAUUGAUUCAUUUUCUCUCUGUCUGAGGGUAUAUGUUCUUGCUCACAUAUAUCCAGUGUCUCGCCGCCUGAAGUUAUAUCCUCUUGUUCAGAUUGAUUCAGUUUCUCUCCGCCUGAAAUUAUAUACUCUGGCUCAGAUUGAUUCAGUUUCUCUCCUCCUGAAGGUAUCUUCUCUUGUUCAGAUUGAUUCCGUUUCUCUCCACCUAAAGGUAUAUUCUCUUGCUCGGAUUGAUUCCGUUUCUCUCCGCCUGAAGUUAUGUACUCUGGCUCGGAUUGAUUCAGUUUCUCUCCGUCUGUUGGUAUGUUUUCUUGUGCAUUUACGUUCUGUUUCUCUCCGCCUGAAGGUAUAUGCUCUUGCUCAUAUUGAUUCAGUUUCUCUCCGCCUGAAGGUAUCUUCUCUUGUUCAGAUUGAUUCAUUUUCUCUCCAUCUGAGGGUAUGUUUUCUUGCACAUAUAGAUUCAGUUUCUCUCUGCCUGAGGGUAUAUACUCUUGUUCAGAUUGAUUCAGAUUCUCUCCAUCUGUGGGUAUGUGUUCUUGUGCAUUUAGAUUCAGUUUCUCUCCUCCUGAAGGUAUAUACUCUUGUUCAGAUUGAUUCAGUCUCUCUGAGUGUAUAUACUCUUGCUCAGGUUGAUUCAGUCUCUCUGAGUGUAUAUACUUUUGCUCAGUUUGAUUCAGUCUCUCUGAGUGUAUCUGCUCUACCUCCUCACUGUAUAAUAUGUCUUGUGUCUGGGAAAGUUCAGUGUGAGACUCAAUUUGAAGACUCAGUACUGACUCGCUCUCAAUCAUCUGCCCAGUAAAGUGUUCACUGUAACUGGAUAUAGAUAAAUUCUCUAGCUCUUGCUCCACCAAUCUAUCAAUUCUUUCUUCAUUAUAGUCCUCAUCAGAGCACACCAUGGAGUACUCUCCAGGUUCUGUAAGUUCCUCAUAGGAUUGCUCCUCUUCUGCCUCCUGAAUCAACUGAUCUACAGCAUUCUCCUCAUCGUUCUCCUGUGUAGCAUGCUCCUUUGUUUGGCUAGCAUCCACGUCGCCUUGGUGAGUGGAGCCCAUGUGACGUUCCUGAUCUAUGACAUCUCCUUCUGACUCUUCAUACAGAUCCUCCAUGGUGUCAAACUGUUUGGACUUGCCUUCGCCCCAGGUGUCUGUUCCUGUCUGGCAAACCUCCCUGUCCUCUUCACCAUCACUGGAGUCGCUCUCGCCCAUGUGUGAAGCCAGAGUGUUGACAUCCGUCUCGUCACUCUUGUAACGGAUCAAGGGGUGUGUGUCGGCUAGUGUGUUGUCCUGAGCAUAGCUGUCGCCUUCUAGCUCAGCCCUCCAUGAAACAGAAUUAUUUUGACAGUAGUUUGCCUCAUCAUGAUCCUCUUUGUCAUUGUCGGAUAUAUUCAGUUUAUCUCCGCCUGAAGUUAUGUACUCUGGCUCGGAUUGAUUCAGUUUCUCUCCACCUGAAGGUAUAUACUCUGACUCGGAUUGAUUCAUUUUCUCUCCGUCUGUUGUUAUGUGUUCUUGUGCAUUUACGUUCUGUUUCUCUCCGCCUGAAGUUAUGUACUCUGGCUCGGAUUGAUUCAGUUUCUCUCCGCCUGAAGGUAUAUGUUCUUGCUCAGAUUGAUUCAGUUUCUCUCCGUUUGAAUUGAUAUACCUUUGCUCAGACUGAUUCAGUUUCUCUCUGCCUGAAGGUAUUUGCUCUUGCUCGAAUAGAUUUUGUUUCUCUUCAUUUGAAGGUAUAUACUCUUGAUCAGACCGAUUGGGUUGGGCUUCUCUGUUAUUCCACAUCUCUUCCUCUUUCACAUGAUACUUUGCUUCUUUCCAAUCAUCCAUUCUUUCUCCAAUUCCAUUCUCUUCAUUGUACCCUGCCACUCGAUCCCAUUCAUCCUUUACAUCCCCAUUGGGGUUCAGUGCAUGUUGUUCCUCACGUUUGUUAGACAUAUCAUUUUCAUCAUCCACUUUUGUGAAAUUUAUGUCACCUUCCUCCACUCUUUCAACAUGGUGAAAUACCUCUUCUGACCAGUGAGAAGCUUGAGCAGAUUCAUAUGAGAUAAUCUCCUCUUGGUUGAACUUAUCGAUUCUUUCUGUCAUGUCAUUUUCCUUAAUGAAUCCUCCCAAUCUUUCACAAUCAUCGUUACCAUACCCAUAGGGGUGCAAUUCAUCUUCCAAUUGCUCCUCAUGUUUGUUAGACAUAUCAUUUUCAUCCUCUUUUGGGAGAUGAAUAACAUCUUCCUCCAGUCUUUUAACAUGGCGAAAUGCCUCUUCUGAACCGUGGGAGGCUUGAGUGGAUUCAUAUGACAUAUUGUCCUCUUGGUUGAACUCUAUUGGCUUGUUGUAACUUUUCCCCGCC